UAGGGAAUCUUCGGCAAUGGGGGGAACCCUGACCGAGCAACGCCGCGUGAGUGAAGAAGGUUUUCGGAUCGUAAAGCUCUGUUGUUAAGGAAGAACGAGUGUGAGAAUGGAAAGUUCAUGCUGUGACGGUACUUAACCAGAAAGGGACGGCUAACUACGUGCCAGCAGCCGCGGUAAUACGUAGGUCCCGAGCGUUGUCCGGAUUUAUUGGGCGUAAAGCGAGCGCAGGCGGUCAAUUAAGUCUGAUGUGAAAGCCCCCGGCUCAACCGGGGAGGGUCAGUGGAAACUGGUUGACUUGAGUGCAGAAGAGGAGAGUGGAAUUCCAUGUGUAGCGGUGAAAUGCGUAGAUAUAUGGAGGAACACCAGUGGCGAAGGCGACUCUCUGGUCUGUAACUGACGCUGAGGCUCGAAAGCGUGGGUAGCAAACAGG
rnacentral:rRNA from 1 species